rnacentral:rRNA from 1 species
AACGAACGCUGGCGGCAGGCUUAACACAUGCAAGUCGAACGCCCCGCAAGGGGAGUGGCAGACGGGUGAGUAACGCGUGGGAAUCUACCCAGUUCUACGGAACAACAGUUGGAAACGACUGCUAAUACCGUAUACGCCCUACGGGGGAAAGAUUUAUCGGAAUUGGAUGAGCCCGCGUAAGAUUAGCUAGUUGGUGAGGUAAUGGCUCACCAAGGCGACGAUCUUUAGCUGGUCUGAGAGGAUGAUCAGCCACACUGGGACUGAGACACGGCCCAGACUCCUACGGGAGGCAGCAGUGGGGAAUAUUGGACAAUGGGCGCAAGCCUGAUCCAGCCAUGCCGCGUGAGUGAUGAAGGCCUUAGGGUUGUAAAGCUCUUUCAGUAGGGAAGAUAAUGACGGUACCUACAGAAGAAGCCCCGGCUAACUUCGUGCCAGCCGCCGCGGUAAGAC